GACGAACGCUGGCGGCGUGCUUAACACAUGCAAGUCGAACGGAAAGGCCCUGCUUAUGUGGGGUGCCCGAGUGGCGAACGGGUGAGUAACACGUGAGUAACUUGCCCUUGCUUUUGGGAUAACUUCAGGAUACUGGGGCUUAUACCGGAUAGGAGCUCCUGCUGCAGGGGGGGGGUUGGAUAGUUUCGGCGGCUGGGUAGGGCCUCCCGGCUUCUCAGCGUGUUGGUGGGGUAGAGGCUUACCAAGGCGUUGACGGGUAGCCGGCCUGAGUGGGUGACCGGCGACAAUGGGACUGAGGUACGGCCCAGACGCGUAUGGCAGGGAGCAGUGGGGAAUAUUGCACAAUGGGCGGAAGCCUGAUGCAGCACCGCCGCGUGCGGGAUGACGGCCUUCGGGUUGUAAACCGCUUUCGCCUGUGACGAAGCGUGAGUGACGGUAAUGGGUAAAGAGGCACGGGCUAACUACGUG
rnacentral:rRNA from 1 species